rnacentral:tRNA from 1 species
GUGGGUGUAGCUCAGUUGGUUAGAGCGACGGACUGUGGCUCCGUAGGUCGAGGGUUCGAGUCCCUUUACCCACCCCA